ACAAAUCCGUUUGGAGGGGGGAGAAGAGGAGGGUGUACGUGUACACGCUUGCUCACUCACCCACCACAUGAACCGGGUCUCCGAGAGGAGAUUCGCCUGUGGGCAGCUAGCGUCAGCCGGUUGUCUGCAGAAAUAGGCUAUGUUUGUAUGUCUUAACUAUUAUAAUAUCUAAUUGUAAA
rnacentral:misc_RNA from 1 species